rnacentral:rRNA from 1 species
AGGAACAUGUGGUUUAAUUCGAUGAUACGCGAGGAACCUUACCUGGGCUAGAACGCAAUCGGAAUCAGGCCGAAAGGUCUGCGCCAGCGAUGGCCGCUUGCGAGGUGCUGCAUGGUUGUCGUCAGCUCGUGCCGUGAGGUGUCGGGUUAAGUCCCAUAACGAGCGCAACCCCUACUGCUAGUUGCCAGCGGGUCAUGCCGGGGACUCUAGCGGAACUGCCAGCGUAAGCUGCGAGGAAGGUGGGGAUGACGUCAAAUCAGCACGGCCCUUACGUCCAGGGCUACACACGUGUUACAAUGGCCAGUACAGAGGGCAGCCACCCCGCGAGGGGGCGCUAAUCCUAAAAGCUGGUCCCAGUUCGGAUCGGAGUCUGCAACCCGACUCCAUGAAGUUGGAAUCGCUAGUAAUCGUGGAUCAGCAUGCCACGGUGAAUACGUUCCCGGGCCUU